CCAUCCUCUUGAUCAUCACAGCUAACAUCACAGCCAUUACAUUUUGUCAGGAAACCCUUAUGGAAAACUACUCUGUUACCUCAAAAAGAGUAUUGGAUAUAAUUUACCACUGUGAGGUGCAGUUGGAGGGAGAGGGUUGCCUCUAAACAUUUAGAAGCAGAAGACCUAAAGGUAACAGAGAAGUCCAGAAGGCUCUCUGCAUGGUUAUGGAGAACUACAGUGCAGAAUCUGUCGAAAAGGACAACAAGCAGUAACACUGAGGUACAUCUUCAUUACAGUGCUUAGCCUGAGCAAGCCCUGUCGUUAUUAAGUUUCCAGCACUGUGUCACACAGUCUGGAAAGGAGGAUGGGUGAAGGUGGUGCAGCUGUAAGUCUUGGGCCACCCUCCAGAACAGCUCUGGCAGGAGGGCUGGUGGAUGGAGUUGAAUCAUUGCAUGCUGGUGGCAUGGCUUUCUUCAGCAAACAUCCUCCGGUUUCUAAGCAGCUUUGGUUUCCUUUGGUAGCUCUGGCUGCAGGAAGGUUGAAGCCACUUACACCGACUUCCUCCCCAGACAGACAGCCUGUCUGUAAGGCUCUGUGCCAGCAUUCAUGCUGGCACAUGGGUUCUGCCUCUAGUCAGUAGGAUUUUGUUACUAAUGCAUUUGUAAGGCUGAUACCAUUAGUACUUAAGUUACUGUCAUGCUUGUUAUGGAAGCUGUAUUUGUUUGCUCCUAUGCUAAAAAGCAGAAACAGAAAGGGGACUUUUUUUCAUGUCAUGUAGUGAGAAGUGGAAACCGAAACUUAAAAACUUUUCCCUAAUGUUCUGUCCCACUGUGCUGCUUUAACCAUAGUGGCUGACACGAACAGAGAACUUGGACCAACCUGCAUUUCUCCUUGUCUCGCAAACUGACCAAGUUCCACAUUCAGCUGUGAGGUUGUCUGUGUAUACAUGCUGCGAGACCAAACUGUUAGCUAAUCGUCUGCUCUGGAAUCUGUCUGACAAAGGAGAAGAGUAGUGAGACAUUUUCCUUUUGUAAUCUGUUUAAGUAAACGAAAUUUAAUCUGUUCUUGGCCAGUUUUAAAGAUCAAAUCAUGAAAGCCUGGAAUAGUCCAGUUGUAUACAUUUCUCUUGGAAAGUAUCUGCUUCAGCUUUCCUCUUCGUUAAGCAGGUCUGAGACCUCCAUUAGAGAAUAGUUUAUUCCCAGCUUUAUUUAAUAUUUUUCAAAUGUGCUGUGUUUGUAUACAUAAAGUCCCACUGUCUCAGCUCUCAAGGAUUAUCUGAGGACAAGACAGCGAAUGUCUACUGGAAACCAGGCAGAUUGUUUUCCUGAUAACGUUGUAGGAACAGGAAAAUUUUCUGUGGAAACCAGCUUAUUAAAUUAGUUGUGUCCCUU